AUUGAACGCUGGCGGCAGGCCUAACACAUGCCAGUCGAGCGGAUGAAGGGAGCUUGCUCCUGGAUUCAGCGGCGGACGGGUGAGUAAUGCCUAGGAAUCUGCCUGGUAGUGGGGGAUAACGUCCGGAAACGGGCGCUAAUACCGCAUACGUCCUGAGGGAGAAAGUGGGGGAUCUUCGGACCUCACGCUAUCAGAUGAGCCUAGGUCGGAUUAGCUAGUUGGUGGGGUAAAGGCCUACCAAGGCGACGAUCCGUAACUGGUCUGAGAGGAUGAUCAGUCACACUGGAACUGAGACACGGUCCAGACUCCUACGGGAGGCAGCAGUGGGGAAUAUUGGACAAUGGGCGAAAGCCUGAUCCAGCCAUGCCGCGUGUGUGAAGAAGGUCUUCGGAUUGUAAAGCACUUUAAGUUGGGAGGAAGGGCAGUAAGUUAAUACCUCGCUGUUUUGACGUUACCAACAGAAUAAGCACCGGCUAACUUCGUG
rnacentral:rRNA from 1 species